rnacentral:misc_RNA from 1 species
AAAGAUCUUCACGCUUCUUCGAAAGUUGUCAAGGUUUUUGAUGAUCAAAGAGUUAAAGGAUGUACCAUAUUAUCGAGCUAUUCGUAGAUGGAAAGACGUCUGCAGUCAUCAUGGCCAAUGAAUGGCUAAUCCCAGAGAGCACCAAUAGAUAUUUCUGGCCUAUCUCUAAAGCAGACUUCACUUGGGUCUAAAACACAAAAAAGCCAGGCCCGAACUGGAUUAUUUUCACCUACCAGAAGAUAAUUAAAAGCACGUGAGCCCUGGCUGUGAAAGCAGUACAUCACCACUUUGUAUUCCCCCCACCAGCACCACCAAGACCUGUGGGAUCAGUUAUGCGCAAACUCUGUCUUCUGUUAGACGUGUUUGGUCUGUAGAUUCUCCAGCACAGCCAGGACCAUUUACUGCUAUUAACAGGGCCUCAAUCACAUAUUCUGAGUUGACACCAGCAGCAUCUUCAGCAGCUGCUACUGACAACUACCAGCAGUAGUCAACCUCUCCUCGUCUCAGACGCUGCUUUCCUCGGGACAUCCUGCCACUAACAGCAUUCUUGCAAAGACCAUCUCCGGGUGGAUACAAAUGCUGCGAUUCUUGUUAUUUCUUCUGUGCGUGUCUCGUGUCCUGGCGAAGGAUACAGGAAGAUGCCAAGGGAAAGACUGCGAGAUAAAGACAUGGCACAAUACAAACUGCAGGACAGACGACGAUUGCAAUCAGCCACUUGCCGUAUGCUAUGAACACCUGUGUCGGUGUGACCCCGGGUACUACUACACCACAAACGAUACGUGUACUAGCACAUGCAGCACACGCGAGUUGCAGAACACCUUUACAGAGUAUCCAGACAGCGCUAUACGUGGAAACCACCUUGAUCGCAUGAAUGGAAUGAGACUGGAAUACUGCAAGGGCAGGUGCCAGAAAGACAUGCUUUGCCUCACCUUUGAUUUCAAAGCCAAUGGAGGUCAAUGUCGGUUUCAUAAUGUCACCGCUCGUGACGCUCCCUCAGACUGGUCUCCUAAGACGAGUAAAGGCUGGACACACUACCAGAGAUCCUGCAAGUCCACUUUUGCCUCAGACGAUAACUGGUACAACUUACUGUGUAAUGGCAGGAUCAACUGUCCAGACCCGAACAGCGACUGCUUAUCAGGCAGAUGCUUCUGUCAAUUAGGCUUCAACUAUAAUGAAGCAUUGAAGAAAUGUGUUGUUACAAGCGAGCUAAGCAAGUGGCACAAUACAAGCUGCGACACAGACGACGACUGCGAUGCGCUCCACGCCGUGUGCUACAAACACCAGUGUCGUUGUGACCCCGGGUACUUCUACACCACAAACGAUACGUGUACUAGCACAUGCAGCACAGGCGAGUUGCAGGACAGUUUUACAGAGUAUCCUGACAGCGCUAUACGUGGAAACCACCUUGACCGCAUUAAUGGAAUCAGUCUGGAAUACUGCAAGUGCAGGUGCCAGACCCUUAGGCGUUGUCUCACCUUUGAUUUCAAAGCCACUGGAGGUCAAUGUCGGUUUCAUAAUGUCACCGCUCGUGACGCUCCCUCAGACUGGUCUCCUAAGACGAGUAAAGGCUGGACACACUACCAGAGAUCCUGCAACUCCACUUUUGCCUCAGCUGAUAACUGGUACAACUUACUGUGUAAUAGCAGGAUCAACUGUCCAGACCCGAACAGCGACUGCUUGUCAGGCAGAUGCUUCUGUCAAUUAGGCUUCAACUAUAAUGAAGCCCUGAAGAAAUGUGUUGUUACAAGCGUGCUAAAGACCUGGCACAAUACAAGCUGCGGGACAGACGACGACUGCGAUGCGCUCCACGCCGUGUGCUACAAACACCUGUGUCGGUGUGACCCCGGGUACUACUACACCACAAACGAUACGUGUACUAGCACAUGCAGCAGAGGCGAGUUGCAGGACAGUUUUACAGAGUAUCCUGACAGCGCUCUACGUGGAAACCACCUUGCUAGCUCGGAUGGAGUCAGUGUGGAAGACUGCAAGGGCAGGUGCCAGGCUGACAAUCGUUGCCUCACCUUUGAUUUCAAAGCCCAUGGAGGUCUCUGUCGACUUCAUAAUGUGACAGCUCAUGAGUCUCUUUCACACUGGUAUCCUAACACGAGUAAAAGCUGGACCCACUACCAGAGAUCAUGCAAGUCUACUUUUGCCUCAAACCGUACAUGGUACAACUUACUGUGUAACAGCGGGAUCGAUUGUCCAGACCCAAACAGCGAUUGCUUGUCAGGGAGAUGCUUCUGUCAUUCAGGCUUUAAGUUCAAUGAUGCCAUGAAGAAAUGUGUUGUUACAAGCGUGCUAAAGACCUGGCACAAUACAAGGUGCGGGACAGACAAGGACUGCGAUGCGCCCCAGGUCGUGUGCUACAAACACCUGUGUCGGUGUGACCCCGGGUACUACUACACCACAAACGAUACGUGUACUAGCACAUGCAGCACAAGCGAGUUGCAGAGCAACUUUACAGAGUAUCCAGACAGCGCUAUACGUGGAAACCACCUUGCUAGCUCGGAUGGAGUCAGUGUGGACAUCUGCAAGGGCAGGUGCCUGGCUGACAAUCGUUGCUUCACCUUUGAUUUCAAAGCCCAUGGAGGUCUCUGUCAGCUUCAUAAUGUGACAGCUCGUGAGUCUCCCUCACACUGGUAUCCUAAGACGAGUAAAGGCUGGAAACACUACCAGAGAUCCUGCAAGUCCACAUUCGCCUCACACCGUACAUGGUACAACUUACUGUGUAACAGCGGGAUCGAUUGUCCAGACCCAAACAGCGACUGUUUCUCAGGGAGAUGCAGGUGUCAUUCAGGCUUCAAGUUCAAUGAAGCCAUGAAGAUGUGUGAUAUGACAUGGAAAUGUGAAGACUGGCAGGACAAAAAUGCCAAGAGUGGUGUCUACACCAUUUAUCUAUUCAGUAAUGAACGUAUAAAAGUGUGGUGCGAUAUGGAGUCUGGCGGCGGCGGCUGGCUGGUGUUCCAGAGACGUCACGACUACUCAGUUGAGUUCAACCGUAACUGGACGGCAUAUGAAUCCGGUUUUGGUGACCUCUCUGGAGAUUUCUGGCUGGGCCUGUCCACGAUUUCCGGACUGACGGGUGAAGGGGGGCGCUUGAGAGUGGACCUCAAGGAUACGUAUGGAAAACGUUACUGGGCGGAGUACUCCACAUUCGUUGUGGGCCGUCCUGAGCGGUACAAACUCAACCUGUUGAACAGCGAAUACUCGGGUAACGCAGGAGAUUGCUUGAGAUCUAGUGACGGUUACAUCUUUUCAACCUAUGACCGAGACGAGUACGGGUGUGGCUCUGGUACUGCAGGCGGUUGGUGGUACCCGCAUGACUGUGGCACCAGUUACCUUAACAGUGCGAACAUGGCUUGGGGUAACAUCAGCUACGUGGCGUUCUCGGAGAUGAUGAUGAAGCCACGGUAACACCACCUUGUCUCCUGUAUCCACUGCUUACACUGCCAGUCUACUGUUCACUACAGGUUCCACUGUUGAUAGUGAUUGGGAGACGAACCACUCACUGUUUGGCCUUCACUUGAACUUCAGACUUCAGACUUCACCGUCGGCUGAGCUAAAAGCAGGAGCUUCACAACUUUUGGAUGGCGAUUCCACAGAAACGGACCUACUUAUCAUCGAAGAAAUGAACUACUGUUUUUGCUAGAGUUUGAAAAAAAGAAUAUUUUGUAAUGAACAGAUGAAAGUUAGUCAAAUUUAUUUUUGUAUUGGACUACACUUUUAAAUACCGUUUAAGCAGACUUGUGAGCAGAACAAGCAGUUAACCCCUGUCCGUGUCACUUUUGCGUUGACCACACUCAGCGCCUUCAUUCAGUCAGAAGUUCUUAAAUGAAUACACUGGUUUAUUUAAAUGUCAGCAGCUGAUUAAAGACAUACAGGUUUCAAAUUUUUUUUUUACAAAAGUGUUCGCUGUCGUGAGCACCAGUUUAUUUCAGAAUAUGGAGAAACUGUGGAGAAUUCGUGUGUUUGAUUAUUACUUUUGCUUCUUCCUCUGUAAAAUAAUAUAAUAUACUCUCUACAAAUAUUACACAUUUCCUGCUCUUUAUAUGCGACGCUACUUGUAUUUGUUAUGUUUUUUGUGUACAGAUUACAUUAACAUUUACUUCAGAUUUUUGUUUUUGUAACAUUGUUAGCAUAAAAUUGUUUUCUUAUUUCGAACGGACGAAGUGUUGUUCUGCAUAGUCAUUUCUAGAAGAGUUUGGAGAAAGAUUUACCCCAUACCCCAUGUUUGUUGAACUCUGUUUUACUUUUUCUGUAUUUCAAGCCAGUGGAAAAGAGAAUGUAGUUAUCCUUAGUAAGGAUUAUUACGAUGACAACGGCCCAGUACACUGUC